UUUUUAAUACUUGUUCUUUUAUUCCUGUUAGUAUUAUUUUUAAAUAAUUUUUAUUUGCCUACCUGUACUUAGGUUUUGUAUAUUCCUUGGGUUUCUGAAUGUAAAAAGUGGCUUUCGUAUUUAUAUUGUAUGCAUUUUGUAAAUAGUAAUAAAGUUUACAUUAUAUUAAA